CCUACGGGGUGCAGCAGUGAGGAAUAUUGGUCAAUGGUCGGGAGACUGAACCAGCCAAGCCGCGUGAGGGAUGAAGGUACAGAGUAUCGUAAACCUCUUUUGUCAGGGAACAAAGGCGGGGACGUGUCCCCGGAUGAGUGUACCUGAAGAAAAAGCAUCGGCUAACUCCGUGCCAGCAGCCGCGGUAAUACGGAGGAUGCGAGCGUUAUCCGGAUUUAUUGGGUUUAAAGGGUGCGCAGGCGGUCUGUUAAGUCAGCGGUAAAAGCCCGGGGCCAAACCCCGGCCCGCCGUUGAAACUGGCAGUCUCGAGUUGGAGAGAAGUAUGCGGAAUGCGCGGUGUAGCGGUGAAAUGCAUAGAUAUCGCGCAGAACUCCGAUUGCGAAGGCAGCAUGACGGCUCCACACUGACGCUGAGGCACGAAAGCGUGGGUAUCGAACAGGAUUAGAUACCCCAGUAGUC
rnacentral:rRNA from 1 species